UACGUAGGGGGCUAGCGUUGUCCGGAAUCAUUGGGCGUAAAGCGCGUGUAGGCGGCCCGGUAAGUCCGCUGUGAAAGUCGGGGGCUCAACCCUCGAAUGCCGGUGGAUACUGUGAAGCUAGAGUCCGGAAGAGGCGAGUGGAAUUCCUGGUGUAGCGGUGGAAUGCGCAGAUAUCAGGAGGAACACCAAUAGCGAAGGCAGCUCGCUGGGACGGUACUGACACUGAGGCGCGAAAGCGUGGGGAGCGAACAGG
rnacentral:rRNA from 1 species